rnacentral:rRNA from 1 species
GACGGGGGGGGCAAGUGUUCUUCGGAAUGACUGGGCGUAAAGGGCACGUAGGCGGUGAAUCGGGUUGAAAGUGAAAGUCGCCAAAAACUGGCGGAAUGCUCUCGAAACCAAUUCACUUGGGUGAGACAGAGGUGAGUGGAACUUAGGGUGGAGCGGUGAAAUGCGUUGAUAUCCUAAGGAACACCAGUGGCGAAGGCGGCAUCCUGGACCGGCAUUGACGCUGAGGCGCGAAAGCCAGGGGAGCAAACGGG